rnacentral:rRNA from 1 species
CCCAAACCAAUAAAGUUUUCUUUAUUGGGGUUGCGGACAUAUCAUAACGAAGAGGUAUCGUAAUUGAAGAGGUUUGGAAAGACCCACCACAGAAGGUAAUAGGCCUGUAUGUUAAACGAGAAGACUUCAGAUAUGAUCCAGAGUACCACGGGACACGUGAAACCCUGUGGGAAGCAGGAGGGACCACCCUCCAAGGCUAAAUACUACCUAGUGACCGAUAGCGUAUAGUA